rnacentral:rRNA from 1 species
GACGAACGCUGGCGGCGUGCUUAACACAUGCAAGUCGAACGGAAAGGCCCUGCUUUUGUGGGGUGCUCGAGUGGCGAACGGGUGAGUAACACGUGAGUAACCUGCCCUUGACUUUGGGAUAACUUCAGGAAACUGGGGCUAAUACCGGAUAGGAGCUCCUGCUGCAUGGUGGGGGUUGGAAAGUUUCGGCGGUUGGGGCUGGACUCGCGGCUUAUCAGCUUGUUGGUGGGGUAGUGGCUUACCAAGGCUUUGACGGGUAGCCGGCCUGAGAGGGUGACCGGCCACAUUGGGCCUGAGAUACGGCCCAGACUCCUACGGGAGGCAGCAGUGGGGAAUAUUGCACAAUGGGCGGAAGCCUGAUGCAGCAACGCCGCGUGCGGGAUGACGGCCUUCGGGUUGUAAACCGCUUUCGCCUGUGACGAAGCGUGAGUGACGGUAAUGGGUAAAGAAGCACCGGCUAACUACGUG